rnacentral:rRNA from 1 species
UACGAAGGGGGCGAGCGUUGUUCGGAAUUACUGGGCGUAAAGCGUGCGUAGGCGGUUCGUUAUGUCUGCUGUGAAAGCCCCGGGCUUAACCUGGGAAUGGCAGUGGAAACUGGCGGGCUUGAGUGUGGCAGAGGGGGGUGGAAUUCCGCGUGUAGCAGUGAAAUGCGUAGAGAUGCGGAGGAACACCGAUGGCGAAGGCAGCCCCCUGGGCUGACACUGACGCUGAGGCACGAAAGCGUGGGGAGCAAACAGG